GUAUUUUACGAAUCCCUCUGCUUAAGCCUAUCAGAAACGAGUAUUCAACAAUGUCUUGGUAAAAUUCAAGGAUAACGUCCAUGUCACUUCAGUUGCGUCUGUUGACGUUUCACCCAUGUGCUUUUAAAGGGACUAUCAGUAUUACCUCCAAAUAGCCUGCUACAAUAGGCUACACACCCAUGUCUGACGAUACCACGAGCAUGAAAUGGGAGUAUACCCCUGACUAUCAAAAGGAAGUUGGGGAGGAUAUGAAGGAUGAAACAGAGACUCAUGAGACCAAAUACAACAGGACAGGAAGCAAGGCUUAACGUAAGUCCAGUGGAGGUGGCAAGAAGAAUUCGGUGAAGGAGGACAGCAGCAUUUGUGCAGGGUCUUCUAAUGCACCCAGGUGUAGUUUCCAGGACAGGGAAUCUAACAUUGAGCAGCUGGAGAAGGAGCCUCAGAGGACUCUAAUGCCUUCUCUCAAUAUUGGGACAAGCUGUGCCCCAGUCCUCCUCCUUCCUGAGUAGUCUAACUAAUGAGUAAGUCCCACGUCUUUCUCCAACCUCACAUACAACUCUGAAUUUGCAGUCAUAAUGUGCCUUCUAACUACAAAUGUGAUUUCAACCACGACCUUAACCAUACCCCUAUCUCUAUCCCUAAAUCAAGAACAAAAUGUCUCCUAUACUUAAUGGCUUAAU